AGUGAACGCUGGCGGUAGGCCUAACACAUGCAAGUCGAACGGCAGCACAGUAAGAGCUUGCUCUUACGGGUGGCGAGUGGCGGACGGGUGAGGAAUACAUCGGAAUCUACUUUUUCGUGGGGGAUAACGUAGGGAAACUUACGCUAAUACCGCAUACGACCUACGGGUGAAAGCAGGGGAUCUUCGGACCUUGCGCGAUUGAACGAGCCGAUGUCGGAUUAGCUAGUUGGCGGGGUAAAGGCCCACCAAGGCGACGAUCCGUAGCUGGUCUGAGAGGAUGAUCAGCCACACUGGAACUGAGACACGGUCCAGACUCCUACGGGAGGCAGCAGUGGGGAAUAUUGGACAAUGGGCGCAAGCCUGAUCCAGCCAUACCGCGUGGGUGAAGAAGGCCUUCGGGUUGUAAAGCCCUUUUGUUGGGAAAGAAAAGCAGCAGGUUAAUACCCCGCUGUUCCGACGGUACCCAAAGAAUAAGCACCGGCUAACUUCGUG
rnacentral:rRNA from 1 species